rnacentral:lncRNA from 10 species
CAGCAUCCCUCGGGGGAGGCCAGUCCCCCAGGUCUGUUUUGUGACCCUUGGCUGCACAUUCUCCCAGAUAGGAGCUACAAACCAGGGCCCUGCGUCAGACCCUUGGGGAUGGGGGAGGUCUAGAAAAACCCACGGAGGAAGAAUAAUGGUACCAGAGGGAACUUUAACUCCUAGAAUCAGGGACCGGGAAAACCUGAAGUUCAGGAAAGCUGCUAAUGAAGUGAGAUGGAAGCCACGUGCCUUGCCAGGAGCUUACUAACGUAAUGUGGCACCCGCCAGCCUAUUCUGCAGACAUAAUGGAAGAGAGUGUUUCCACUGCUCAUUCCACAGGCAAGCCACAGAUCCUGGCCACUCCUUGCCUUGGAGGCAGUACAGACACAUUCAUAGGGUUUGGCUCCUUUCCCUUGAGUUCUGCACCUUAAACUAAAGAAGUCAGUCACGCGAGGCUGGCUUGCUGGAACCGGCUAGAAAAUGCAGCCCUGCCUGCCGCAGGGAUCUCCUCCGGUAUGGCCACACAUAUGAGUUCUGGCAAUGCCCAUUAGUGAUAUGGCCGAUAGUUUCUUCUGUCUUGCUUCCAGGAACCUUUUCUUGGUUUGAAGCCACCGAACCAGAAGAGAGAAUUUUUACCACUUUGAGGACUUCUUGUGACGAAUCCAAUGGGAAUUCCAUAAUAUUCAGAAACAAAACAUUUUGAGGGCCAACAAAUUAUUAAGCCCUUUGCUAGGUCUUAGAGAUACAAAGAUAAAGAAGACUGGAGUUUUCUUUUUAUUAUCUACCAGACUGAAGGCCACUGCCUGGGGACUUGAUCUAAGAGAAGAAAUAUCAGGAGACCUGGGUUUGGCUCCUGGCUCUGCCAGGUGAUCAUGGAGCAGUCACGUAUUAUCCCUGAGCUUCCGUUUCCUCAUCUACUUAAUUAGUGAUGGGUCUACAGGGCCUUGCUGGGGUCCACUUCUGACAUUCUGUGUUGCAUGGACCAUGUCAGAGAAGAUGGAGACACCUUCACGGCCUGUUAGUCACAUCUCACCAAAGCUUCUCAAUGGGCUGUCAGACAAGAAAGGAGCCUCCUGUAGCCAUCUUAAUCAGCAUCCCCCAUCUGUGAGGUCAUCGGGAUAUUUCAAACAAUCUUCAGCUCUCAUUAGUUGAGUGCGUUUCACAGAUAGUUGUCCGGAAAAGGAAGAGGAUGACACUGAUGACCAGCCGUCUUGGGUGGUUCACAGGCUCACUAAGGAGGCAGUGUUGAGCCUGACGGAUCUGUGAAGGCCCCUCCGACUUGUAACUGUAAAAUGAUGACUCUUGAUGGAACUCUACAGUUGUUGACACCUGGUGGGCCACCUACAGCUGAAGGUUCAAAGUGAUAAAACAAACCUGGUACGGAAAUAACUGAUUGUGGAACGCGAAGGACCUGUGAUCAUGCAAAGGUGACAGAGCAGGUAAAAUGUUUUGGACAAGAGGGAGAGAGUUUGCAGGUAAAGAACCUAUAAGGGGCAGAAAGAGGAAUGCAGGACACUUCGGGAUGUGGGUCACAUUUUGUCCUGGAAUCAGUACUUACCAGCUUAGUCUGAGGCCUUGGGACAGAAGUGCUGCUCAUAAAAGUAAAUUGUGUUUCUGCAAUGAAAUCUCUGAAACUUCAGGAGAAGAGCACUUGGUCAGCUUGCUUGGGGUUACUAGUUCAGUGGUGACAUACAAGUGUGUGUGUGUGUGUGUGUGUGUGUGCACGUGCAUGCGCAUAUUUGUGUGUUUAGACGGUGUGUGCUCACUGCUUCAGAGAGCAGUUUCAGGGCCAUCUGUUUUGAGCUCAGUGUGACUCCAGAUAACCAAGAGUAGGAAACAACUCUGGGGUGAUGAUGGCAGCAACAGUGACCUCAAAGUAAAGUGGUGAGUAUUUUUUUACUAUCUUCCCUGAUUGUGUGGGACCCUCAAAUAUUUCCCCAAUUAUUUCUGGGAAUCCUAAAGAGCUACCUCUUAAGUCCUCUAAGCAAAUUAUCUCAGCAGCCUGAGAAAAGGGACUUGCCAUUUUCCCUCUUCUCUGCCUCUGAAUCCAUUUGGUAAUUAUGGCCAAGAAGUCACAUGUAGACUGCAUUGCAGUGGGGUGUGGCUGAGAGGACUUGCUUUAGGGUGGAGCGAAGUAACAUGCUAUUAAUCUGUUCAUGUAACCAAGCAAUCUGUCUUUUAUUCUACAUAUUGUCACAUAGUCCAUAGAGCAUUCAAGGCCUGGAAAGAAAAGAACACUAACAACAAAACCAAAACAAGUAGACAAACAAAACAACUUCAAAAUACAGCUCCUGUUCUGUAGGAGCACAUAGUCCAUUGGAGGUCCACUUACACACACACACACACACACACACACACACAAGGGUGGUGUAAACAGUGGUGCUGGAGUCUCCUGAGAUUGUGCCCGGCAGCACGGCAUCAGGAAAGACCCCAUGGGAGCAGAAAUUUUGAGAUUGGAGCCCUAUUUUGAAGGAAGAGUAACAUUUGGACAGGUUCAGGUGAAAGGAGGGAGAACUUCCUAGGUAGAGAAGUGGCAUGUGGCAGGAACUUGCAUGGCGAGAAGCUGAAGCCAGCUGUUUGGUUGGUAGGAAGAUCAGUUUUCCAGGAGCAGGCAGUCAGUGUAGACAAUCCACACUGGCGAGGUAGCCUGGAGUUAGGCUGUGGAGGACUUUAAGGACAGUCUCAUUGGAUCUGGGGCCCACCCUAAUGCAGGAUUAUCUUAUUCCAAUCCUUACCUUAAUCAUGUCUGCAAAGAUGGCAUUUCCAAAUCAGGUCACAUUCUGAGGCUUUGGUGGAGGUGAAUUUUUGGGAGAUGUUAUUUAAUUCACUACAGAUGAGUUAAGAUUGGGGCUGAUUAUAAACUGCUAUAAUUGGGGUAACAAGGAAAGGCUUUUUGGAGGGAAUCAUAUUUGAGUUGAGACUUGACCAAGGACAAGGAAGAAGCCAUGUGAAUGUAAAUAAGCAGAAGGAACACCAACAGUCAAGACCUUAAGAUGACAAUAAGUUUAGUGUUUAGAAAGAAUGACAGCUUUUUUUGUCCUCUGUGAUGUGAAUUUUCUCCCUUGAAAUGGUGCUAAAGCAUUUAAGCCUAAAGAGACAAAAUAGGAGACAAUCUUGGAAUUGAAUCCACUCAAUCUGCCUGCUGCUCUUGCUAAGGUCAAGGCUGUGCUGUGGAUGAACAUGACCUCGACUGAAAGUAUUUGAAUGCUAUUGGUGCCCCAUGAAAUGAACUAAAUUAUUUCACGAUUCUCUUCCUCUGCUAAACUUUGUUCUCAGAAAUUAGAAGCCCAGAAAAGUAGCUCACACUCAGUAUUCAAACUCUCAUUGCAAUGGAAGCAGCAUUGCAGAAUUUAUUUAGUGCAGAGAGUUGGGAAAUUUGGGUUUUAAAUCCCAACUUUAACAGUGGCCAACCAUGCCUUUUAGGUAAGUCUCUUUACCUCUCUAGGCCUCAGUUUUCCUCAUCUGUAAGGCAAUGUUGGACCAGGUCAUGUGAGGGCUGAGGCAGAGUGGGACCCUUCCAACUCUGGCUUCCUAGCUUCACAGAAUGCCCCAGGAAUUGUCUGGCCUUCGCAGGAUCUUCCCAGAGUUCAUGGACACAUUUGGCUCUUGGGUAGCCAAGGCUCUGAGUGUAGAAUAGUAAAACCAAUAUGCAUGAGGGUACUUGUGAAUACACUCCCACCUAAACUUGACCUCUAAUGUGAGGCCCAGUUUCUGAGUGUGGAUUUACAAAGGCUUUCCUCUGUACACUUCUCCUUGCACCUGGAGAAUCUGCUUGUGGACUUUCAGAUCUACCAACUACCUUCCACAGAGCUCUCUGAGACAGGGAAGGAAAACCAGGCUUUACAGCUAGACCAGGACUUUGUUAAUAAGACGAUUGUUCACAGCUAUAUGUUUACCACAACCUCUUUUAGCUUUGCCUGUAAUUACCUUGGCCCUAUGCACUGAAGAAUCUGUCUGCACUGCAGCGGGACUCUUAAGUUCCCAUUGAUUCUGAGUAAGUCCCAAAUAUAUUUUUAUUCUGUCCUCUGGUAUUCUGCUGAGCAGAGGGCAGAGUGUCUCUUUCCUGCUCUGUGCAGGAGGUGAUGAGCUCCUUGAGUGGUUCUGCUACUAGCUCACUGGUGACCUGGUGACCAUCUCAUUCUAGUCGGCCCAGGACAAUCCCAGCUUGAAAAUGGAAAAUUCUGGAUCCUGGAAAACCCCUCAGUCUUGAGCAAACUGGGAGAUUGGCACUCUACAGCAGUGCAUCAGGGUUGCUCGGAGUCCAGUAACAAAUUUGGAGACUAAGACGGUGGCUCACGCCUAUACUCCCAG